AAAAUAAUUGAUUUNUGUUAUGGUUAAUUAGCUUUAAUUUGAUAAUUACAUGUAUAUUUUUGUGUGUUACUUUAUUCUCUAAAUGGGUUUAAUUGUUAUAUUUGCAGUUUAUUUUAUUAAUUUUUAAAGGGAUUUAGAUUUAGUUAAUUUUAUUUAAAACUAUAAAAAGUUGUGCCAGCAUAUGCGGUUAUACAUCUAGUUUAAGUUAAUUAUUUUGAUUUAAUAUUUAUAAUUUAAAAAUUGAGUUUAUUUAUUAUUUUAUUGGGUGAAAUUUUAUUUUAUUUUAUUGUUUGGGUUAAUUAUUGAUUAAAUAUGAUCAUUAGGGUUUAAACUAGGAUUAGAUACCCUAUUAUUCUAAUUGUAAUUUUUAUUUUAUUAUUAAUAGUUAUGUUCUUUAAAUUAAAAAAGUUUGGCGGUGAUUUAGUCCUUUCAGAGGAACCUGUUCUGUAAUUAAUAGUCCAUGUUAUAUUUUACUUUAAUUUAUUGUUUGUAUACCUCUGUCAUUGAUUAUCUUAUUAGGGUAUUCUCUUUGAUUAUUAAUAUAUCUUAUGUCAAGUCAAGGUGCAGCUAUAUUAGAGGUUGAAAUGGGUUAUAUUUAAUGUUUAAUAAUAGGAUAAAUUUUUGUUAAUAUUUUUGAAAUUAGAUUUGAAAGUAAAGUUUUAUAUUUAUAAGUCUUGAUUUUGGCUCUAGAUCAUGUACAUAUCGCCCGUCACUCUCAACUUUUCAAAUUGGGAUAAGUCGUAACAAAGUAAUUUUACUGGAAAGUGAGGUUAGAUUUAU
rnacentral:ncRNA from 1 species